AAGGUAGCAUAAUCAUUAGUUUYUUAAUUGGAAGCUGGAAUGAAAGGUUGGAUGAGAAAAUAACUGUCUCUAUUUAAAUUUWUUAGAAUUUUWUUUUUAAGUAAAAAAGCUUAAAUAAUAAUUGAAGACGAGAAGGCCCUAUAGAGUUUUAUAAAWAUAGUUAUUUAAAAUUUUAGUAUUAUAAAAGUUAAUAGCUUAUUUUAUUUAAUUGGGGKGAUUGAAAAAUUGAGUUAACUUUUUCUUUAUAAAAACMUUGAUUUAUGAAUAAUUGAUCCUUUUUUUAAGAUUAUAAGAUAAAAUUWC
rnacentral:rRNA from 1 species